rnacentral:rRNA from 1 species
UACGUAGGGGGCUAGCGUUGUCCGGAUUUAUUGGGCGUAAAGAGCGUGUAGGCGGCCAGGUAGGUCUGGUGUGAAAACUCGAGGCUUAACCUCGAGAUGUCAUCGGAAACCAUCUGGCUAGAGUCCGGAAGAGGAGAGUGGAAUUCCUGGUGUAGCGGUGAAAUGCGCAGAUAUCAGGAAGAACACCUAUGGCGAAGGCAGCUCGCUGGGACGGUACUGACGCUGAGGCGCGAAAGCGUGGGGAGCAAACAGG